GGCAAUGAGGCCUGAGAAAAACCUGUCCCACAGGCCAAAGAAAGAAAAGGUUGCAAGGGCAGGGAGUGAACAGGGUUGGGAGGCCCAGGGAGAAGAGGGCUAAAACUUAACAUGGAGUUUGCAGCAGGAACUCUCUGGUGAUCUAAAAGAGACUGGAGUGGGAGGAUAAAAGCCUGUUUGGAUGAUCUCAAGAGGAAAUGAAAGAACAGUGAGCUAAGUCAGUGAGUAUAGACAGCUUUUUUGUGAGCAAUUUCCCCCCACCCCCAGAGAAAUGAUGUUGUAGCAGGAUGGAAAAGCAGCAUCAAGAGAGAGUGAUUUUGUUUUAGCCAGAGUUAUAUCUGAUGUUGAGAGUAUGACCCAGCAGAGUGUGAGAUUCCUGCUGGAGUGGAAUACCAGAAUAGGUUCAGAGGCCUGGGAUUCAGGUCAUGGGAGAGGAGGCAGGUGGAUACACAUAGAGGCCGGCAGGUGGGAGGAGGCAUCAGGAGAGGGUGGCUAUGUCCUGUGGCUAUGUUUGUUUGUAACACAAACGCAGCACUGCAUCAUUUAUAGAGACACCUUCAUUGCCUCAGUGAAGUAGAUCUUAAAUAUCUAACAUGCAAAGAAAAUAAUACUUCAAAGAGAUGAAGUAUCUUGCCUUUGGUCAGCCAUUGGGAAGGUCGGAGUUGGAGGUCAGGUCUCUAAGACCAACUGCAGACAGAGAAUGUGGGAGGGUAGCUGCUUAGAACAUCUGGAGUCAGUCGUGUGAGGUGGACAGAGCUGAGGAAACUCAGGAAGAAAUAGAUCUUGUUGCUCUGUGAACAGCAGAGGUAAGACACACCUAGGCUAAAGGCUCAUAGGAAAAAAAAAAUAGAUACAGCAAGGAAGAAAAAGCAAGAACAUUCUAAAAGGGAUAAGAUUUUAUACCUGAUUUUAAACACUUGUGUAAGGCUUGUGCCCAGAAAGCUCAAACAUUGUGACAAACCUCUUGGUGCUCAUAUCCCAAAUGUCACACACCUGAGCCAUCUCCCAAUGAUUUCAAGACCUGCAGCUAUGCAGACAUUGACUACCUUUGUUAUUUUAUGGUGGGACAUACACAGAGGCCCACAGAGCACUCUGUCAGCUGUGGAGUCCCUGCUUCUGCCUUGCCCCUUUCAGACACAAGUGUAUUGUGUCCCUUCCCCAGGUACUGCUGCCCUGCCCAUGUUCAGCAGAAGACGCCCUGUCCCAACCAAGAGCUGAUUUCCCUGCCUCUCCUGGGGUGGCCAGUUGGAGUAGGUUCUAGCGCAGCCACCGGAGAAUGUCUUAAUCCCCAGCUGAGGGGCCUUUUGUUCCCUGGUCGUAAGCGGUCCUGUGAUGCUCAGAGCCUCCGUGUUCAUGAACCUUCUGUGAACCUCUGGCCUCACCCCUAGCUGGACUUCCACCAAGACACUUAUUAUAUACCUACUGACUAGCAGUUCCAUUCAGAAGGGGCUGGGAUAUCAGGCAAAGAGAACAGGAGUAGGAAAGAGAAGAGCCAGCUUCCAGUUCCAGCUCUGCUCUGUGACCCUGAGUUAAGCCCCUCCACCUCUUUGAACUCCUUUCUUCACAUUUAUGAGAAGAGAACUCCACCACUCUGCACAGAGUUACCGGAGGUCAGGUGAGAUAAUGUGCACAGAAAUAAACUUAAAGCCCUGGACAAGGACAGGUAUUUCUGCUCUUUCUUUCCUCUACCCCUGGCCCCAGGCCACUAAAGGCACUCUUUAGAAAACCUUGGGAUUGAUGAACCAACACCUUCCAACCAGAGGGGACAAGUCUACAAUUUCAAGGUUACUGGCACAGACAAAAGGGAGCAGUACAGGACUCUUCACGCUAGACAACAGAUGGGGUGCACAAGAAAAUAUGUCCAAAUCCAGGGUUACUUGGUUCCUUCUGCAAGAGGACCCAUUAGCAUUAAAUGGCAACAAGAGGCAUUUGCAGGUUUUUACUUUUAUUGCAACUUGAUAUGUUAGAAGUAACGCCUCAUCUGGGGUCUCCCUAAAGUUAAUGAGACUGAGCGGACAGUUCAUUGACUUGCUUUGCAGAAUUUAUUUUAUGAGUGCCUCUAAUCCACAUGGCUUCUCUGCUUGGGGACUCAACUAAGGGAAACUCCAAAAAAUCCCACCAGCUUAUUCAUACUUACCAUGUUGCUUCAUAUACAACAUACACUCAAUCAACGUAAUUAUUAUUCAAUUCUGGAAAGAAAACACUGUCUUAGAGACAAAUUUAACCCAUAGGAGCGUGCACAUGGGCUCACACACACUCACGUUUGUGAAUGUAUAUCCAAAGGCUCAAGUUAUGAAUUUCCCACACAGGCAGGGUUUUCUGUUCAACUUCCUAUUAUCCAGAUUCAUUUUGCUAGGGAAGCCUCUCCCCAGCUGAAAAAAUCAAGGAUUUUCCAGCUGUCCCAGUAGAGGACCACUGUUAUUUUCUAAGACAAUGCCCCCCAGCAAGGGACAGAGUUCAGUGGGCAUGGCUGUGGGCCACAUCAACGGGAAGAGACCCUACCACUGAAUUUCCAGCUCAGUAAAGAUUCUGAUGUCCCAAAUGUGGCAUAGGAAACAUGGAGGAAAGGCCUGAAGGGACCAGAGAGGCCUCAGAGUUGACUGCACACAUGAACAGAUGACCAGUGGUGGGUGCAAUCCCUCGUAUUUGACCUCAUGUGGGACAUAGAGCCUCUGGAAUGGCUGAGGUCAGGUUUCCUCCCAGCUCAAUGAAAUGAGGACUCAGAGUUAAAUUAGGUACAGAUAGAGAGUAUAAGUAUUAUUUUAUUUAUGCACCCUGAGUAUAGAGAUAAAUUCAUAUCUAUUCCAAUGGAAAAAUGAUUUACUACCUAAAUGAACACAGCUGGUUUGUUAAAUUAAGCACUUUUAAAACCUAGUGUCCAUGGGGAAAAGCUGAGGUGGUUGGAGUGGGAUGGGUUGAGGGAGAGGUGGCAGGGAUCCUUGGAUGUGAAGAUAGUAGGAAAUUGGGUUUCUGACAUAAUCCAAGUACACAGCACCUUCUCCUCUACCAACUCUUCUGGGCUACUUGCCAGGUACCCUUAGGUUUUAGGGGACAAUGCUGAUUGUCUUUGCUUCACAUCAUUUUUUCCCAUUGCCUGAGUUACUUUUUAAUAUCCCCCAGGAAAGAAGAGUCAAAAGAGUGUGUCUAACCAGAAAGCAGCAUAAGGGCUUUGGAUGCUUAGCCAGGCUCUUUGACCUGCAAAGAACAGAGUCCCAUUCAGGUGAGUUCACCCUGCGGGAACAUGAGGACAAUCAGGGAAGCAGUGGAUAGCGUGGUGUCUCACUCAGUGGUGUGCCAGGCCUGCAGGGAAUACAGGAGCCUAGAUCAGACAUUCUCUCAGGUGUAGAAUUUCAGCAACCUCUACCCUGCACUUCACUGUUAACAUUGAUUCAGUUCCUCUCUGUCUCUACUUCCUGUCUCUACUAAUCAUGGCUGCCUCUACUCUGGUGACUUCAUGCUCAUGAUUAUUACAUACCUCUGGACUCUUCCUCAUCUUGUCUGUGUUCUACCUUCUCUUCAUUUCCUAUCCCAUCUCCGUUCCUCCUACAAACUAAUCAAUCCUCUCCCUCUAAUUCUGGUUUGAAUUUCUGAGAGAGCUUUGUGAUGCCCCUGUUUGACGGAGCUUGCAUGACAUGUGACAUCAUGGGAUGCCUACCAUUGUCCAGCCUAUGGACUUGAUAAUCUACACAUCAGCUGCCUCUGUGGGUCUAACUGGUUUAAGCUAUGGCAGGUUUCAUGGCCAUUACUUGAUUCAUUAGAAGCCAGCCCUUAGUAUGCGGCUGUAGUCAGGGCAGAUUUUCAAAGCUUAGCCUAGCUGUCUGGAUCAAUUAGGAAAUCAGAUCAGUUGUCAAUUACCUGAACCACUUUUGCAUAUCUCUUGGGUUGUACUAAAUCAUUUUCUAAAAACAAUCCAUUAUUUAACAGAUGCUCCUUCUGUUUUAAGAAAGGAGAGAACUCGAGAUGCUUGACCCAGUUUCUACUUUAAAGUGGAAGCUAUCAUGGAGCAGCAAAGUGGACUUAGAUGCCUGACAAGAGGGCCUUCUAGUUAAGACAUCAGGUUUAGCAGGUUUCUCUAUGUCAGCAGAAGAGUGCCCCAAUUCUCCCUGAAUAGGCAAGUAUCUCUUUUCUUCAUAAUGAGAAACAUACUAAGGCAGUUAAGAAGAAAAUCUACCCAAGAAUGGCUGUCCUUGCCACUCAUUUAGUUUCACUAUCCUGUAGGUCAGCAUCCAGGGCACUGACCUGGGUCUGAAGCUGUCACAUGCCUAUACAAGACAUGUCCCCAGCAAACAUCAUCUUGCAUCUAAAUCUCAGAUGAUAAUUUGGCAGAGGGUUGUCUUGCUCACCAGAAGCCUGGACAAGGUCCUGUGGCCUCUAUUGGCCUCUGGAGAACUGUUUCCUCCAGCUCUCUCUCCCCAGCAAGUGCCACUUGAGUUGGGCCCAAGGAGGCUGCAGCAAUCAAACAGGCCAGAAGAAUGAGUGCACUUGUGCUCAGUGGUGGAUCUGGAAAUUGGCUUUCUUUGGCUUUUAAUGGGAGAUUUCUCCAGCAGUUUUAUGAUUACCAAAGACAAUCAGGGCAGUUGGAAAUCUGGGAUAUUUGUACCCUUCACUCUGUUUGGGCCUCAAGCACUGAAAACAUUAAGUCAGUUCCCUAGAGGGCCUGUCCCCUGUGGAGAAAAUGUUUAAUAAUUAAAAGGCACUGUAUGUCUGUACUCAUUAAUUUAAAAAUAUUCCCUAGUCAAUAUUCUUCGCAAUGAACAUGAUUAUUUACUGCUUAGUGAUGAGCUGAACAAAUGACGGCAGUCUUUUUUCUACCACUUGCAUUUUCUAUCAGGAAUAAAUAGUAGCACUCAACUAUUCACAAUACCUAUCAGCUGCCAGUGUAACUUUAAAUAAUACACACAAACUGCUAUUUUCAGUUUCAUCAACAUUUGGUAGUAGUUUUUGGCUGCCCCUGUGUUAGUUAGCUUUUCAUUGCAGUAACCAAAAUACCUGAGAAGAACAACUUAGAAAUAAUUUAUUUUGGGUUCACAGUUUCAGAGUUUCCACGUAUGGUUGGCUGACUCCAUUGUUUGGGGCCUAAGGUGAGGCAGACUAUCAUGGAGGAAGGAUACGGUAGAGGAAAUCUGAAAGCAGAGAGAGAGUAGGAGGAACCAGGGACAAGAUAUAACACCCAAGGUCAUCCCUCUGUAAGCAAGUGGGGCACAGCCUCCAGCCAUGCCUUAUCUGUUAACAGUUAUCACACAGACUACAUUCAGAUAUCAAUGGAUUAAUCCAUUUGCUGGAUUAAUCCAGCAAAUGGAUUAAUCCACUGAUAAGGUAAGAGUCCUAAUCAUUGCCUAAAAGCCCCACCUAUGUAUCCUGGGGCUCAUGACUUCAAAAAUAAUUGGGGGAUUUCAAAACAUGAGCCUCUUGGUAGAUAUUCAAGAUCCAAACCAUAACAACCACCUACAAGUUGAGAAUCUUACAGUAAGUCCUUAACUUACUGUCCUUACUUCUUUUCUUAUCCACAUUCUGUUGUUUAUUUUCCUUUAUAUGGUUGGUGAUAAUAACAUUUAAAUGCCAUUCUACAAAUUUUAAGACUUUCACACUUUGUUUACAGGUUGAAUCUAAACACUAAUAAGCCAAUAAAUACUUUACAUUUUAACUACUAUGUAAAUACUGUUUAUCACAGAGUCAGAAGGUAUCACAUAAUUACUUUUCCUUUUCUACAGGUAAAAUGUCAUCACCUUUGGGACAUUUGGAGAACAUUGUUAGUAUCAAGUUCAAGCAGAUUCUCUGCCCUCAUACUCAAGCCAUAUCCUGGUCAUGUUACAAUAUAGUGAACCUUCUGUGUGACCCAUGACUUUGUUCUGUUUGGUUUUUCCAGAAAUUUCUAAUUGCCUUUUAUUUUUCUUAUUGAAACAUUAAUAAAGAGCUUAAGUGUCUUCGAUUA
rnacentral:lncRNA from 1 species